AGCAAACAGGUUGUUCAAAACAAACCUUACGUUGCAAUGUGGAAUACAUUUCAUUCUAUUUUCUCCAAGCAUUAUUCAUACUUUUACUUCUCUGCCAAUAGGUGGUGCCACCAAUUUCGACAAUUCCUCCCAGCCAGGAGAGCGACACCAGGAAGAGCUCAGGUGUGGGAAGGCGUUCAGACUGCUUUGGUACUCACAGCACGGCCGGGCAACAACUGGGGACCAGCAGAAGGUUCAGACAAACCAAACGAGGAUCUCAUCCACCUUCGGUUGCUCAAGAAAAAUGGCUGAUUUCUGAGCAUACAAUACUCAAAACACAAGAGUCAGAGACAGAUGGAACAGAUGAAGAUGAAGCUGUCCCACAGGAAACCAUCUCUGAUUUGUAACACAUCUGCAAAAUGACAGAGAAGGCCACAAGCUCUAGUUGGAGGUGAAGAGGCUCUCCUGAGAGCCCAGUGCCAGGCUGGGCCAUGCAGCUUCACCCCCUCCAUGCCAUGCGCCACCAUGGAGCCCCUGGGGCCUCUGCCUCAGGAGUGAGCGAGGCACUACGACUACACCGCCAACUUCUCUGUUAAGGCUGGAGAAAUGCGACACCGCUUGGUGCAUUGACUUUAUUAUAUUGAUUUAUGCUUUCCCUUUAAUUAAAAGGUACCAGGAAAACA